GCUUGAAAGAGAUAAAGCCUGCAGGAGCAGGGAGUACCACUUUUCUUUCUAGCCCCAACCUGAAUAAGUUCAGAAGGGUCCCUUCUAUCAGAGUCCACAUGCUUGCUUCUGGAAGGAACAUCAUGUCACAUGUAGAUGGUGGCCAUUUUCCCUUCCUCCUUCAGUCACAGCACCCAGAGCAGAAUGUCCUGAACAGGUAGACCCAUGAUGUGAGAACCCGUUCUACCUGGUCAUGGCCCGGGUUCAGCAUGCUCUGUUCCAUAGCUCUGCUGAUGUCCAAGAGCUUCAGUUUAGAGGACUUCAGAGUAAUCCAGAGCCUUGAGCUAAACUGUGCCCAGAUGCCCUGGGGCAAGGAGACCUUCACAAAAGGUUGUUUGUUAGAUAUGGAACUGCCAGCAGCUCUGCAGCAGAUAUAGCCUGUCUCCCGGGGUAGCCAGGAGCCUGGGCGGAGCCUUUGGGACUCUUAUUUUAAGUGAUGCACCAGACGCCAGCAGGAGUGCUCCUUCCAAACAACUCAGGGCACGACCGAAGACGAGAGAAUGUGCAGAAGCAAACUUGGCAAGGGCACACAGCGCAGGAGAGUCAGAAGGCAGCCUGGGCAAGGAGGGAAGAAAGUUCUGCUGCCCUGACCCACAGACUUCUGUUUACUUCUUCAAGGGAAAAGCCUUUCAUGAGGGUGUAACACUGCAGAUCUUCUGAGGUCCUGAGAGGAGCCAAUCUGACUCCAGGGACUGUCGGGGACCAGAAGACCAGGAUGACCAGGAGAGAUGUGACCAGCUACACCAUGGCAAAGAAUGUCUUAUUUCAGCAGCACUGUGCUAUUUUCGGGGACAGAGAGAAAGCCAAUUAUCCACCCAAGGCAGAGCUGGAAUCUACACGGAGGAAAAAAAGACGCAAGCCCCCCAAAAUGAGUGAGGAGGCGGCUCGUAACAAGAGCACAGUGAUGGUAAGGCAAGAAAAGGCCAUGGCUGGUUCUGACAGAGCCUCCUUUGUAGUGGAGGCCAGCGAUGUGCGGCUGAUACCUGGCUGCAGAAGAAAGGAACUACCCUUGGAUCCUCAGGGACCUGCCACCAACAGCAGAGGCAAGGAGCAUGCUCACAGAGGAGCAAAGCGAACAAAGGCAGACCACAGCAAGCAUCAGGGGCUUUCUGGGUCCUUCUGUGAUCUUGUUUGCAGCAGAACCAUUGAUCUUGUUUAGAGCAAAACUGUUCCUUCAGAUCCCGGCAACUCUGUAAGCACGGUGGCUGAAUGACAAGCGGCUGCUGCCCGGGCUUCCAAAACACGUGGGCUAGCAAAAGAAGUCUGCUUUACUCUCUGACAAUCUUAGGAUAAAGCGAUUUUUCUCCUACUCAAUAUGGGAGGAACAUAUGCUUUCAGACAACCACCACUCAUUACGAGACUCUAGGAAAUUGACAGCAGAAAACCUAGCAAGGACUUUGACUCAAUUUCUGGGCUUAGCACCAUGUUCUAGAAAGAAGAAAAUCGUCAUCACUAUUGUUCCUUUUUGCAAUAAGCAGGAAUAGUCGCCAAGAAGAGAACACUAUGAAGAGGACUGACUUGCGAAUCACUUUUAGUCUGCUGAAGGAUGACUGGUUGUGUUUAGCCCCCCACCUCCUGCCUCUCUAUCCCUGCUCCACAGAAGGUCGGAGCACAAAUCCCCAGACCCUCAAACAGGAGAUGGAGCAACACAAACGUUUCCAUGCCUCCAUGUUGUCUACUCCCAGGAAAAAGGGCAGCGUAUCUGUGGGCUGUUCCUCAGUGUGGGAAACCACAAAGAUACCCUGCUUUGUGGAAUUCAGAGCCCCCGGAAGGAAGGCUGACACCCCGCUGCCGUCCUCUCUCCCAGAGGGGUUACAGGUCAAUUUAAAAGCCUCACUAUCUGUCACCUUCAGGGCAAAUCCACACUUUGCUCUCUCAGGUUUUAGUUUCACACUUCAUUCCUCGGUUAACAUAAUCUAGCCUAUUCCAACCAGCCUGUAAACAUUUUAGUUCAGGCUAACAGCAACCCAAAACAAAAGAAAACCACCAGAAGGCUGCCAAGGUUGUGUAACCAAUGACUUAAUAACCUCUGUAAGGAAACAUUUGCUUUGAAAACAGUCCCAAACAUGUAGUAAAUGUGCUUGUGGGGGGGGGGGGGAGGAGAGAGGGGACAGACGACAACACUUUAGUUUACAAAACAGAGUCAUGUAUAUCAACACCCCACACUUAUUUCUGCCCCUUUCCCCAGCGACUUGCACCUGCACCCUAGCCGCAGUUUAGAAGAUCAGAUUUCCUCUCUGUCGGAUCCGCACACAGGUGAGUCCCAGGUACGUUUCUCUUCUGUUGCCUCAUUUGGAGAUGGGAGAGGGAGGACGCUCUGGCUCUAUUUCUGGACACCCCCCCCCCUUUGUGUAACAGUGAGAAAAUAGAACUCUCACACCACAAGGUUUUUGUUCCUCCGGUAUCGCCCACACAGAGACUGUCCAAAAAUGACCCCCACUCAUUCACAUUACCUGCAUGGAAAAGUAGCAGCAGUUUUUAAGGGACAUAUUAGAUAGUGUGUGGGGGGGGGGGGGAAGCUGAGCUUUUGUCAGCCUUCUGCACACCCUUCCCCCUCCUACCUGUGCUUCCCCAGUGGACCCUCUGGGACUGCCAACCCGUGCUGACUUUGCUCCCUCAAGAGAAACUGCCUCACAAAACACAUGCUCUUUUUAUCUUCCUACAAGAACCUUCUCAUUGAACACAAUAAAAAAAAAUCGUUUUCAAACCAAGUACGGUGUCCUCAUUUGUAACCAGCCGUCUCUCAAAAGGCGGAGGCAAAUUCAAGGUCCACCUGGGCUAUGCGGUUGGACGGUGUGUGUUGUGUGUAUCCUGCAGAAGGGCUGCAGAAAGCCGGUCUUUUCACUGCACAUUUAAGCAGCUGCCAAACCUGCAAGCAAGUCCCAGGCUUCCUUCCUUGAAUGUAGCCCAUCUGCUUGUAUGGGUUUGCUUUAUACCUCAAAGUACCCUCAGACGUCCUGAUGUAUACCCUGAGCUAUGUGCACACCACAGUUACGUGUGUAUAUGUGUGUGUGUGUGUGUUUAAGGAAGCAUCUAACACACUUGGUUCACUGACCCUCCAUUAACAGAGAAAAGUGGGCUCAGUCUGACAGAGACAGACAUGUUUGUAUCUACAGAAUUUCACUGGACCUGAAGCAUCCACAGUUUUCUUUAUUCUUAACUUAUGGAAGCCUAUCUGAAACUCCUACUGUGUGCAGAAUUCUGGAGGAGAAGAAAAACACCGGUGUCUGGGGACACCGAGACAGAGGCAAUGUCACACAGCAGCCCUGUUGUAGGGGAUCAUGGGAAGAUGGAGGAGAAACACUGCAAAAUGGUCCCUACAAGACAGCAGCACUGCCCAGCAGUGCUUCUCAGAAGGAUGGGGCCGAAUCAAUGUGGCUCCUUCUCCGUCUCCUCUGGAGCUGGCUGCCGAGGGGAGGAAAGGAAUCCAUCACAGUGGCAACCAGGGCAACUCAAUCUGAAACUAAUGAAUGCUUGGCUGGGGAAAAAGAAAAUCUUUAGAACAGACUUAACUUAUGAAAAGGUGAUGAAAAGCGGGGAAACUGCACCGUGUGCCAGAAGGCACUGCCAAUUAAAGUCCAGAGAGCCCACGUCGUGUAUUUUUUUCACACUAUAUGAUUACAUUUUAGGAAAGUGGUACACUGUGUUUCAGAGGGAACUGUGCCCAUGUAGUUUAGCAGAGAGAGAGAGACGGGGUACAAGUCAGCGGCGCAUGUUUCAGCGCCUAAUGUUGGGAAUGCUUAGAGAUGGAGAGGGAGGGGGUGGAGCCUGCAGUGAUGCUGAACCCUCUAGGCUCCCAGGUGAGCCAUGCCUUCGUGGGGACAGAGGCAUCCCUCACCUCCUUUAUUAUGAUAGAUAGUACAUGACCCCGGAAGGGGAUACGAGGAAACUUAGGUACCCUGAGCAAAGGAGGCUAGCUCUGAAGUCAGGCUAUCAGCAACCCUUCCAUCGCUUAGCCAGGUCGCUGUAUCAUACAUGACACUGGUCUCCAGAAUCCUCCACAGCCCAAAGGGGGACCAUGCAGGGUGAAAGGAAGUACUCCUGCCUUGGAGGAGGGAAAUUCGGUCGAGCGCAUGCUCUGCAGACAUCAGCGAGGGACCUCACGCUACUCCUACGCAGGCCACGGAGAAGGUACUUUGCAAACCGGAAGUGGUCUAAAAGAUGGCGUGCGUGUCAGGUAAGAAAGCAAUGCACGUUUCGUCACGUAAUGAAAUAAUGCUGUCUAUCAUCAGACUGGGCGUGGUGGCACACACCUGUCAUCCCAGGACGUGGAAUGUGGAGGUAGGAGGAUCAUUGUGACUUCAAAAUCAUCCUGGCCUAUAGAGCAGGUCCGAGGCUAGCUAGGCUCCGUGAGAGCUUGUCUCAAGGAAAACAAAACAACGAAAUUAAGACUGUCCAUUUCUUCUGAAAUGAAGCGGGGAGGAGGGUAAGUAUUUGCUUUUUAUUUUUCUUUUACAGAAAGAGUGGUGUAUCUCAGUUAUAUCUCCUGGACCUCACUCUGAAGUCCAAGCUGGCCUCAAACGUGCAAUUCUCAUCUUCCUUUUGAAUGCUGGGACCAUAGGAGUACACCAACACACGCAACAAGCACUUGUUUUCUGUGCCUGCAAUCGAAACCAUGUCUUACAUUAUAGAAGACACGAUUGCUUCUCAAAAACACAGACAUAUGCACAGAUAUACUAGAGACCAUCCUUUUAUAAAAUGGGUUAUGUCCUAAUUACAGAAAAUACUUUCUUUUGUUCGGCUUCCUAAUGCCUUAUGACUUUCCUAACGCCUUAUGACUCUCUUGCUACUAAAUGAUGCUAUUUGCAUUAUUUGGCAAGGAAGUAUCAAUAUAACAAAUGGAUAAGUCUAGGUCAAAGGUUGCAGAUGGGUGAUGUUAAACUUCCUCUCAGUAAAAACACACCAAUAACAUAAAUAGAACCGAGUGCCCCCUGAGGACGAACUAGGGAAAAGGCAGCACAAUAUGAAAGCAACAAGGUCCUGGAAAGCUGCCGGGCACGCAGGACAGGGCUAGGUCACAGUGAAUUACAGAGCAGCGAACAUGAAUGCCAAAGACUCGGGAGCUACUGACAGAGGUCAUCAGAACAACAAGUCUCUGAGAAAUGAGAUUAAAGUUCAGGGUUAAAACAUUUUGAUUGGGGGGGGGGGCAGAGAGGUGGCUCGAGGUAAGAGCACUUAUUGCUCUUGCAGAGCACCAGGCUUCUAUCUCAGCAACCACAUGGUGGUUCUUGGCCACCCAUUAACUCCAGUUCCAGGGGAUCCGACGGCCUUUUCUGAUCCCACAAGCACAACGCACACACAUGGUAUACAUAUAGACAUAUACUCUGGUAUCAAAUAAAACCUAUAAAUCUAAUUUUGAAAA